GUCCCUGUAGCGCAAUGGAUAGCGUGUAAGACUUCUUAUCCUAAGGCCGUGGUUUCGAAUUUCACCUGGGAUG